rnacentral:rRNA from 1 species
CCUACGGGAGGCAGCAGUGGGGAAUAUUGCACAAUGGGGGAAACCCUGAUGCAGCAACGCCGCGUGAAGGAAGACGGUUUUCGGAUUGUAAACUUCUAUCAAUAGGGAAGAAAGAAAUGACGGUACCUAAAUAAGAAGCCCCGGCUAACUACGUGCCAGCAGCCGCGGUAAUAAGGAGGGGGCAAGCGUUAUCCGGAAUUACUGGGUGUAAAGGGAGAGUAGGCGGCAAGGUAAGCGAUAUGUGAAAGCCUUAAGCUUAACUUAAGGAUGGCAUAACGAACUAGCUAGCUAGAGUACAGGAGAGGAAAGCGGAAUUCCUAGGGUAGCGGUGAAAUGCGUAGAUAUUAGGAAGAACACCAGUGGCGAAGGCGGCUUUCUGGACUGAAACUGACGCUGAGGCUCGAAAGCGUGGGGAGCGAACAGGAUUAGAUACCCCUGUAGUC